rnacentral:lncRNA from 10 species
AUCAAACACCACCCCCUCAGACAGGCUUCCAUUCACAUCUCUCUAAAGUCAAGAAAAUUACAUCCCUCCCAGAAUGCGAAGAUAUAAACAUGCUCUAAGGAGGUAUGACAGCUAUGCUCAAGAUUCAGGUGCUCAGAUAAUUAGACGAGAAUCCUUGAAGGAGAACUAGGAUUACAGUUACUGUUCUUUAAGCUUAAAAUGAGCUUCAAUCAAGAGGAAGAAGGAAAAUUGCUUAAGUCAGACCCGACAGCUAAAGCUGCACAUCUGGCAGUGGUGAGUGGCCCUCAGUCUCCACUGAGGGACACUGAGUGUCUCCAGCAUCUCAAUAGGAAGCUUCCUGCAGACCAACUAUAAUCUAUUGGCACCCAAGUGGGGAGUUUCUAUGGGCCAGCUUCAACCCAUGACACCCUAGUAAAAGUCACCAACAUCCGAACAUGUGACCUCCUGCAGACCAGCUCUGGCCCACAGGACCCAGUGAAGUUCUCUGCUCUUCAGCAGGCAUGCUAUACACAUUCUCUACUGAAAUCAGUGUCCUCAAAUGCCUGCGGCGUUCUAAACACACGAGCAACAAGGAGGCAUAGCCACUGACCAGAGAAGAUGAAGCACUCUGGAGAGAUCAAAGACCAUCGGGCCUGAGUGGCUGUACAAUUUCGCACUGGGGGUUCUAUUCAGCAGUCUAAAUUGCAGCUGGUCUGUCUGUCCAAAGCACAACAUGGCACACAAUUAUGUAGCAUCACUCAGCUUAGCAAAAAGCAGUUUGCAUCAAAGGAACAACAGAAUAGGAAGAGACCUAAUAUUUCUUGAAGCCUACUGUGUGCUAACUACUUGAUGUGUGGUUUUCAUAUACUCUUUGCACCAAACCUAUGAGGCAAUUUGCUCUUCAAAAAACUCCGAGUCUGUGUGGUGUUGCCUACAUUUUUCUUGGAUUUUAUUUCCCUUUCAAUGGCCUACUCUCAGUGUUGGUGUCUGAGCUUCCUCUGUGUGGAACAGAAGAUUUUUAAACCUGUAUAUUUAUAGCAAACAAUGAAUCUCUAAAUAGUUCUUCAGAUCUUGAAGUGUUCCCACUUAUUAAUUAAUUUGAGAAGGUUUUGCCAGAUCUGAGGGAGAUUUUCAUAUUUUUUCUUCUCAUAUGGCAAAGAAGUUCUCAGGCCUAUGAAUUUAUAGAAAGAAAGUGAAAUCUGGCAAGAUCAUCAGAGACUGUUUAAUUGGGAUUUUUGUGCUUCAGAAAACAAGAAAAUCAAGCUCAGAGAUGAAAUCAGGUCUUCCAAACCUCCUGAAAGGAGUCUCCCUGUUCUAUAUUCAGGAAGGCAUUGGUCACAUUGAGGUCCUUUUGGGAUUCUCUAGUUUUCAUGUUUCAGUGGUAGACAAGGGAGUGUUUGAAGCAUCAAGAGCAUUUUCAGUGUCACUAUUCUCUGUCUUAACUCUCCUGAAGCACCAACCAUGAUCAAGCUUGCAGUCUGAGUGUAAGAUGUAGAAGGAGACAGAAAUGAAAUGCAGUUACCCAAGAAAUAUUUAAAUACAAUUGUAUUAAAUACUGUGAUGGAGAGAUACAGACUACUGCGAGUGUGUAUAUAAAAACGGGGGGUCCUGAUCUGGUCAGGUGGAAUGGGGAAAGCUUCCAGGAGGAAGACAAAUUUAAGCUGAGACCUGAAGGGCGAUUAGAAAUUGUGCAACUGAGGGAGACAAUUCUAUUAAUAGCGCUAUAUCCCCUAGUGACUGGAAUGUAGGGUUUGAGACCUUGGGCUCAAAGACUGACUGCCUGAACAAAAUUCUCUCCUUUACCACACUUUUAGCUCUGUUUUCUGUGGGCAAGACACUGAAGUUUUCUGUUUCUCCAGCCCUUUGUAUGAAAUUAGGGAAUAAUACUAUUAAGGUAUUGUGCUCUUAAACCAUUAUCACACAAUUUUGAUAAUCCCAUGUGAAACUUAAAUGCAAUAAUGCAUGUAAAGCAUUUUAACAGUGCCAAACACUCAGUAAACAAUCAACAAAUAUUGGCUAUUAUUAUUGCAGGAUUCUGCAGCUUACAAAACAUUUUCAUAGGCAUCAUACAUUAUCUCAUCACCAAUGCUUUCCUAUAGUACUAGUUCUCGGGACACUUCCUCUGCUGAUGGUACUAUGAUUCUAUUUGGAGAAAAUAAGCAAAUGCUGUGAACCCCUUUUUAGCUUUAUUAGGGGCUAGGAGUAUUCUGUGGGAGAAUCGAGACAGAGCUUGGGUCUCGGAGUCCCCAAGUAUAUUCAAGAAUCCUCCUAUGUAGACUGGAAGUUUACCAAUACUUAAAAUUCUAGCAGUGUCUUAGAUGAAUAGAGGCACACAUUUAAAGGACUAGGUUACAUUAAGGAUUUUGAAAACAUGACAUUUAUGGUUUAACUGCUCCUCAGGAAUCAUGUCCUCAAACUGUUCAAUAAUGAUGUAAGAUGGGUGAACAAACAAUUUAAGCUUCACUCUAAAAUAAUCUCGGCGGGAGCACAAUAUUGUAAACAGUCAUUGCUGCAUCUCCAUUCUGUGAAGUUCCCUUUCAUUGUUGUCCAUUUAUUCCUUUAAACUAAAAGUCUUUGACCAAGUUACUUAGCAUCUUCUAACAAUUCUUAAAAGUUCUUCUAAAGAAAUUCAGCGUAAGGCGGUGUGAGCUAUUACACUGACUAUAAAGAAUGUCAUUUCUAUUGAAAAGAGCAAACUUUCCACUAAACACAUUUGACCUUCUUCUAUCUGGUAUUGUGGCUCAUCUGAGAAUAGGGAUGGUGGCUGUAUUAGUUCAUUCUCAUGCUGCUAAUAAAGACGUACCCGAGAUUGGGUAAUUUAUAAAGGAAAAGGGUUUAAUUGACUCACACAGUUCAGCA